AUUCUUUCGCAGAGGCAAUAUUGUAGCCUAUGAGGUUUAUCCGAGGCGCGAUCAUUGCUGGUUGAAAAACUUUACCUCAAUACCCCGCCAGGAUGACUUGAAAUACAGUCAGCCUUGGUAAUUUUUUUUGCCAGCUUCUGUGGAAG
ensembl:snRNA U4 U4 spliceosomal RNA